rnacentral:rRNA from 1 species
GACGUAGGGGGCCAGCGUUGCUCGGAAUUACUGGGUGUAAAGGGUUCGUAGGCGGUGCGGCAAGUCGGGAGUGAAAUCUCCAGGCUCAACCUGGAGGGGUCAUUCGAUACUGCCGUGACUAGAGUUCGGUAGAGGAGUGUGGAAUUCCUGGUGGAGCGGUGAAAUGCGCAGAGAUCAGGAGGAACACCCGUAGCGAAGGCGGCACUCUGGGCCGAUACUGACACUGAGGAGCGAAAGCGUGGGGAGCGAACAGG